UACGUAGGGUGCAAGCGUUACUCGGAAUUACUGGGCGUAAAGCGUGCGCAGGCGGCUAUGCAAGACAGAUGUGAAAUCCCCGGGCUCAACCUGGGAACUGCAUUUGUGACUGCAUGGCUAGAGUACGGUAGAGGGGGAUGGAAUUCCGCGUGUAGCAGUGAAAUGCGUAGAUAUGCGGAGGAACACCGAUGGCGAAGGCAAUCCCCUGGACCUGUACUGACGCUCAUGCACGAAAGCGUGGGGAGCAAACAGG
rnacentral:rRNA from 1 species